AUGUGACCUUCAGCUUAUUUUCAAAAAUGCCUAUGCCAUGGAAGAGAAAACCUGGGGUGACAAGAGGAAAGGAUCAGAGCAAAGCAGAGCUGCUGGAAACACAUAUACAGUUGGAAGUUGUGGGUCCUCCAAGAACACACGAUGCAGGAUCUAUAUUUCAGAAGGAAUGAAGGGAAGAUGAAGGUUUCAGGGUUCCUGGCAUCCUAUGUUGCAGCUGUCAGUUGAGGUUCAGGCUGGAUAUCAGGAAAAGUUACAAUUGGUAGCUAUAUCAAUAACCAUGAAUUCUCCCCAGACUACAUGGAUCACUUUAGCCCUGAGAACAU
rnacentral:lncRNA from 1 species